GCAAGUCGAACGGCAGCGCGAGAGAGCUUGCUCUCUUGGCGGAGUGGCGGACGGGUGAGUAACGCGUGGGAAUCUGCCUGGUAGUGGGGGACAACAGCGGGAAACCGCUGCUAAUACCGCAUACGUCUUACGAGAGAAAGUGGGGGAUCUUCGGACCUCACGCUACCAGAUGAGCCCGCGUCGGAUUAGCUAGUUGGUGGGGUAAAGGCCCACCAAGGCAACGAUCCGUAGCUGGUCUGAGAGGACGACC
rnacentral:rRNA from 1 species